rnacentral:rRNA from 1 species
ACACUCCUACGGGAGGCAGCAGUGGGGAAUAUUGCACAAUGCGCGCAAGCCUGAUGCAGCCAUGCCGCGUGUAUGAAGAAGGCCUUCGGGUUGUAAAGUACUUUCAGCGGGGAGGAAGGCGAUAAGGUUAAUAACCUUGUCGAUUGACGUUACCCGCAGAAGAAGCACCGGCUAACUCCGUGCCAGCAGCCGCGGUAAUACGGAGGGUGCAAGCGUUAAUCGGAAUUACUGGGCGUAAAGCGCACGCAGGCGGUCUGUCAAGUCGGAUGUGAAAUCCCCGGGCUCAACCUGGGAACUGCAUUCGAAACUGGCAGGCUAGAGUCUUGUAGAGGGGGGUAGAAUUCCAGGUGUAGCGGUGAAAUGCGUAGAGAUCUGGAGGAAUACCGGUGGCGAAGGCGGCCCCCUGGACAAAGACUGACGCUCAGGUGCGAAAGCGUGGGGAGCAAACAGGAUUAGAAACCCCGGUAGUCCCAUGA